rnacentral:rRNA from 1 species
AUUGAACGCUGGCGGCAGGCCUAACACAUGCAAGUCGAGCGAGCGGCGGACGGGUGAGUAAUGUAUGGGGACUGCCCGAUAGAGGGGGAUAACUACUGGAAACGGUGGCUAAUACCGCAUACUAUCGGAUAACCCAUAUGGGAUUAGCUAGUAGGUGGGGUAAAGGCCUACCAAGGCGACGAUCCGUAGCUGGUCUGAGAGGAUGAUCAGCCACACUGGAACUGAGAAACGGCCCAGACUCCGACGGAGGCAGCAGUGGGGAAUAGUGCACAAUGGGCGCAAGCCUGAUGCAGCCAUGCCGCGUGUAUGAAGAAGGCCUUAGGGUUGUAAAGUACUUUCAGCGGGGAGGCGUUACCCGCAGAAGAAGCACCGGCUAACUCCGUGCCAGCAGCCGCGGUAAUAC